AUUGAACGCUGGCGGCAGGCCUAACGCAUGCAAGUCGAGCGGAUGAGGGGAGCUUGCUCCCUGAUUUAGCGGCGGACGGGUGAGUAAUGCCUAGGAAUCUGCCUGGUAGUGGGGGAUAACGUUCCGAAAGGAACGCUAAUACCGCAUACGUCCUACGGGAGAAAGCAGGGGACCUUCGGGCCUUGCGCUAUCAGAUGAGCCUAGGUCGGAUUAGCUAGUUGGUGAGGUAAUGGCUCACCAAGGCGACGAUCCGUAACUGGUCUGAGAGGAUGAUCAGUCACACUGGAACUGAGACACGGUCCAGACUCCUACGGGAGGCAGCAGUGGGGAAUAUUGGACAAUGGGCGAAAGCCUGAUCCAGCCAUGCCGCGUGUGUGAAGAAGGUCUUCGGAUUGUAAAGCACUUUAAGUUGGGAGGAAGGGCUGCUGGUUAAUACCCUGCAGUUUUGACGUUACCAACAGAAUAAGCACCGGCUAACUUCGUG
rnacentral:rRNA from 1 species